GCCGCGAUGGUCUAGUGGUAUGAUUCUCGCUUAGGGCUCACCCUGAGUUGUAACAGUUGGCUUGCCCAGCCUGUUCAAUAAUUGCGAGAGGUCCCGGGUUCAAUCCCCGGUUGCGGCC